GGGGGUAAAUUAAUAAGGUAAAAAUAAUAAAAAAAUUUUUAAUAUUGGAGGAUAUUAAAGUAUUUUUUAUAAAAAAAAUGAAAAAUUUUAUAUUAAAUUAGUAUUGUAAAAGAAAUUUGAAAUAUUUUGAAAAUUAAUUAAUAAAUAAGUAAAUUUAAUUUAUUGUAUCUUGUGUAUCAGAGUUUAUUUAAAAAUAUUUAAUUUAUAUUAAAAUCUCGAAUUUAAAAGAGUUAAUUAAUUAAAAAAUUUAAUGUUGAAUAAUUAUUUUUAAUAAUUAAUUAGAAAUGAAAUGUUAAUCGUUUUUAAAUAUAUCUAGUUUUUUUAGAAAAAAAUUUAAUUUAAAAUUUAAAAAAUUUUAUAUUUAAUUAAAUAAAAAUAAAAUUUUAAAAUUAAAUAUAUUAAGGGAUAAGCUUUAAUUUAAAAAUUUAUAAUAAAAAUAAAUUUUAAUAAAAUUUUUAAAAUUUAUAUUAUUUAGAAAUUAUAAUUUAUUAUAAAAAAUUUUAUAUUAUAUAAAAUUUAAUUUAUUUAUUUAAUUUUUUAUAAAAAAAUAUUUUAUAAUAAGAUAAAAAUAGAAAUAAUAAUAAAAUUAGUAUAUUAAAAAUAAAUAUUAUAAAUUUAAUUUAAAAUUAAUAUAAAGGAAUUCGGCAAAAUUUUAUGUUCACUUGUUUAUCAAAAACAUGUCUUUUAGAUAAUAAUUUAAAGUCUAAUCUGCCCACUGAUAAAAAAAAAUUAAAGGGCUGCAGUAUAUUGACUGUACAAAGGUAGCAUAAUCAUUAGUCUUUUAAUUGAAGACUUGUAUGAAAGAUUUGAUGAAAUAUAAACUGUCUCUAUAUUAUUAAUAAAAAUUAAUAUUUUAGUUAAAAAGCUAAAAUUUAUUUAAAAGACGAGAAGACCCUAUAGAGUUUUAUAAUAAUAUUAAUUAAAGUUAUUUAUAUAAUUAACAAAUUUUAAUUAAUAUUAUUAUUUUGUUGGGGUGAUAAAAAAAUUGAAUUAACUUUUUUGUAUUAAAAACAUAAAUAAAUGAUUAUUUGAUCCAUUAAUAAUGAUUAAAAGAAAAAAUUACCUUAGGGAUAACAGCGUAAUUUUUUUUUUUAGUACAGAUAAAAAAAAAAAGAUUGCGACCUCGAUGUUGGAUUAAGAUAAAAAUUAAAUGCAAAAGUUUAAAUUUUUGAUCUGUUCGAUCAUUAAAAUCUUACAUGAUCUGAGUUCAAACCGGUGUAAGCCAGGUUGGUUUCUAUCUUUAAAAACCUAAAAUAUUUUA
rnacentral:rRNA from 1 species